CGUGGAGGGAAUCAACAUGCCAGAAAUGGUAACCACUUCGGUGGUAAUCAUAGCCAAGACAAUAAAAAUAGACAUUUCAAGAAAAGGAGAUUCAACAAUGAUGGAAAGACGUCAGCACCAGCACCUGUUGUUAAGGAAGGAGAACGACCACCUAUCAUAUGCUUCAAAUGCGGAGGGGAGGGACACAUCAGUCCAAACAGCGCGAUGCC
rnacentral:lncRNA from 1 species